CCUACGGGAGGCAGCAGUAGGGAAUUUUCCACAAUGGGGGCAACCCUGAUGGAGCAACGCCGCGUGCAGGAUGAAAGCCUUCGGGUCGUAAACUGCUUUUAUAUGCGAAGACUUCGACGGUAGCAUAUGAAUAAGGAUCGGCUAACUCCGUGCCAGCAGCCGCGGUCAUACGGAGGAUCCAAGCGUUAUCCGGAAUUACUGGGCGUAAAGAGUUGCGUAGGUGGCAUUGUAAGCAGAUAGUGAAAGCGUGUGGCUCAACCAUACUCACAUUAUCUGAACUGCAAAGCUAGAGUAUAUGAGAGGUAGCUGGAAUUCCUAGUGUAGGAGUGAAAUCCGUAGAUAUUAGGAGGAACACCGAUGGCGUAGGCAGGCUACUGGCAUAUUACUGACACUAAGGCACGAAAGCGUGGGGAGCGAACUGGAUUAGAUACCCCAGUAGU
rnacentral:rRNA from 1 species